rnacentral:rRNA from 1 species
CACGUAGGGGGCGAGCGUUGUCCGGAUUUAUUGGGCGUAAAGAGCUCGUAGGCGGCUCAGUAAGUCAGGUGUGAAGACUCCAGGCUCAACCUGGAGACGCCACCUGAUACUGCUGUGGCUAGAGUCCGGUAGGGGAGCAUGGAAUUCCUGGUGUAGCGGUGAAAUGCGCAGAUAUCAGGAGGAACACCAGUGGCGAAGGCGGUGCUCUGGGCCGGAACUGACGCUGAGGAGCGAAAGCGUGGGGAGCAAACAGG